AGCGAACGCUGGCGGCAGGCCUAACACAUGCAAGUCGAGCGAGGACUUCGGUCCUAGCGGCGGACGGGUGAGUAACGCGUGGGAACGUGCCCCUUGGUACGGAAUAGCCCCGGGAAACUGGGAGUAAUACCGUAUGAGCUCUACGGAGGAAAGAUUUAUCGCCAAGGGAUCGGCCCGCGUUGGAUUAGGUAGUUGGUGGGGUAAUGGCCUACCAAGCCGACGAUCCAUAGCUGGUUUGAGAGGAUGAUCAGCCACACUGGGACUGAGACACGGCCCAGACUCCCACGGGAGGCAGCAGUGGGGAAUCUUAGACAAUGGGCGCAAGCCUGAUCUAGCCAUGCCGCGUGGGCGAUGAAGGCCUUAGGGUUGUAAAGCUCUUUCAGCUGGGAAGAUAAUGACUGUACCAGCAGAAGAAGCCCCGGCUAACUCCGUGCCAGCCGCCGCAGUAAGAC
rnacentral:rRNA from 1 species